rnacentral:rRNA from 1 species
GACGAACGCUGGCGGCGUGCUUAAUACAUGCAAGUCGAGCGGACAGACCCUGAGCUUGCUGGUCGCACGUUAGCCGCGGACGGGUGUGUAACACGUGUAUAAUCCACCUAUAAUACUGGUAACACCUCGGGACACGGGAUAUUAUACCGUAUAAGCUCCUGCACCAUAGUGGUGAAUAGAGAGAUACGGUGUUUGUGUCUGGUAUCGAUGCUUACGCGCUGCAUUAGAUAGUUGGUAAGGUAACGGCUUACCAAGGCAACGAUGCGUAGGCGAGCUGAGAGGGUGAUAGGCCACACUGGAACUGAGACACGGUCCAGACUCCUACGGGAGGCAGCAGUAGGGAAUCUUCCGCAAUGGGCGAAAGCCUGACGGAGCAACGCCGCGUGAGUGAUGAAGGUCUUCGGAUCGUAAAAAUCUGUUAUUAGGGAAGAACAAAUGUGUAAGUAACUAUGCACGUCUUGACGGUACCUAAUCAGAAAGCCACGGCUAACUACGUG